rnacentral:rRNA from 1 species
GGACGAACGCUGGCGGCGUGCUUAACACAUGCAAGUCGAGCGGAGAAUAUAGCAAUAUAUCUUAGCGGCGGACGGGUGAGUAACGCGUGGGCAAUCUGCCUCAGUACAGGGGGAUAACACUGGGAAACUAGUGCUAAUACCGCAUAAAAUAGUGAAGUGGCAUCACUUUACUAUCAAAGGAGCAAUCCGGUGUGAGAUGAGCCCGCGUCCGAUUAGCUAGUUGGAGGGUAACGGCCCACCAAGGCGACGAUCGGUAGCCGAACUGAGAGGUUGAUCGGCCACAUUGGGACUGAGACACGGCCCAGACUCCUACGGGAGGCAGCAGUGGGGAAUAUUGCGCAAAAUGGGGGAAACCCUGACGCAGCAACGCCGCGUGAAGGAUGAAGGUUUUCGGAUUGUAAACUUCUUUGAUUGGGGACGAUAAUGACGGUACCCAAAAAACAAGCCACGGCUAACUACGUGCCAGCCGCAGC